AGCGAACGCUGGCGGCAUGCCUAACACAUGCAAGUCGAACGAACCUUUCGGGGUUUGUGGCGGACGGGUGAGUAACACGUGGGAACGUGCCUUUAGGUUCGGAAUAACUCAGGGAAACUUGUGCUUAUACCGAAUGUGCCCUUCGGGGGAAAGAUUUAUCGCCUUUAGAGCGGCCCGCGUCUGAUUAGCUAGUUGGUUGAGGUAAUGGCUCACCAAGGCGACGAUCAGUAGCUGGUCUGAGAGGAUGAUCAGCCACAUUGGGACUGAGACACGGCCCAAACUCCUACGGGAGGCAGCAGUGGGGAAUCUUGCGCAAUGGGCGAAAGCCUGACGCAGCCAUGACGCGUGAAUGAUGAAGGUCUUAGGAUAGUAAAAUUCUUUCACCGGGGACGAUAAUGACGGUACCCGGAGAAGAAGCCCCGGCUAACUUCGUG
rnacentral:rRNA from 1 species